AUGCAAAACCAGGUGCUGCAUGCCAUGGUUUCUUUCCCAGCAUGCAUUCAGACCUACUCCGUCUAGCAAGCUUAAUUAGCCACGUACUCCUCGGCCACACGAUCUCGAACGCACGUACGUCGUUCCAUUGCAUGCAUGCAUGCAUAUAUGCAUGGAUACUUGAGCCAUAUAUGAAUGUAUAAAUUAACUUCGUGGCUGUUACAUAGGGAUCGUCCACGUUGAUCCAUGUAUAUACAUCAUACAUGAUGUAACAAAAUUAAUAAUACGCAAUAUAGUAUGUCGUACGUGUUACUUGAGACUCUAGAGAUGAUCGGCCGAUAUAUAUCCAUGUGUUCGUACGUCAGCCAACUGAUAGAAAACAGACUUAAUUACACGCCUAUAACUCUACGUAACCUACCUAGCUACCUUACCUGUGUGUACAGUAUAAAUGUAUAAUGUAUAGGAGUAGUAUAGUUUCUUAAUUUGAAUUCCCUCACUACAAGGAAGUAAAGAGAAUUGUACUGGAUUUCGGGUGUUUGUCUGUUAAAUUAUCAGUGGAUUGCUUUCCUUUCUCCAUCAGUUUGAACUUUUGGUUAAACUGUGUCUGUACAUGAAAGUCUUAAUGCUCUAUCAGAGCUACCGCAACCUACUUUCGGUCGAUGUUUAGGUCUGUGAGAGCCACACGUUUCCUCAUCAGCUUGAUCUUUUAGAUGAACUGGAUAAAUGUAUGGUGCUCGGCGAAAAAUGUCGCAGACGGAAAGGAGACAGAAUAGCCACGAAGGCGUUUAAAAAGGUGUGUGCGUUGUAUAUCCACAUGUGUCACAUGCACGAUCAAAAUAUAUACGUAGGGAAGCAAAAAAAAGAAGGAAAAUGGCUAAACUUAAAAAAAACAAAAUCCACAUCUUUUAGUGAUAAGUUAUAAAAGAACCUAGGACGUGGUGGUGCACAUGAAGCCUGGAUAUGCGGAUGAAAGCGAAAGCGUGGUCAAAAGCUAGCUCAAAUUAAGCUACAUCGUUCAUGGACUGCAUUGCGUCAGCUGACGUCACCGUCCAAGGGUCAGACAAACGUAGGUCACUGCAGGCGUCACCAUGCACGGAGAGAGAGAGGGGGGCUGAGACAGCGGUCAAACCUGAAUUAAUGCAUGCAGGAACAACUUUUGCAGCUCGAUCAGAGAUAGUGUUGUAAUUAACUUGUUUAUCCCUCUAACAGUCAAGUUUUAAUCAACGGCAUUAUUGUAUCUGAUAUAGCAACUAAAAAUCCAAAGUUUGCAAAU
rnacentral:lncRNA from 1 species